AAGUCGAGGGGUAACAGAGAAGCUUGCUUCUGCUGACGACCGGCGCACGGGUGCGUAACGCGUAUGCAACCUACCUCAUACUGGAGAAUAGCCCUUGGAAACGAGGAUUAAUACUCCAUGGUAUCAUUCUUUCGCAUGUUAGAAUGAUUAAAGAAUUUCGGUAUGAGAUGGGCAUGCGUCCCAUUAGCUAGUUGGUGAGGUAACGGCUCACCGAGGCGACGAUGGGUAGGGGGCCUGAGAGGGUGGUCCCCCACACUGGUACUGAGACACGGACCAGACUCCUACGGGAGGCAGCAGUGAGGAAUAUUGGUCAAUGGAGGCAACUCUGAACCAGCCAUGCCGCGUGAAGGAUGACGGCCCUAUGGGUUGUAAACUUCUUUUAUAUGGGAAGAAACUUAUCUACGUGUAGAUAACUGACGGUACCAUACGAAUAAGGAUCGGCUAACUCCGUGCCAGCAGCCGCGGUAAUACGGAGGAUCCAAGCGUUAUCCGGAUUCAUUGGGUUUAAAGGGUCCGUAGGCGGAUUUUUAAGUCAGUGGUGAAAGCCGGCAGCUCAACUGUCGAACUGGCAUUGAUACUGGAAAUCUUGAGUACAAAUGAAGUAGGCGGAAUGAGUCAUGUAGCGGUGAAAUGCAUAGAUAUGACUCA
rnacentral:rRNA from 1 species